rnacentral:ncRNA from 1 species
CACGCCCUUCCAAUUUUAGAUUGGCAUAUCGAUACGUGUGUGUAUAUUUUUGCGCGAUUGGAUCGAUAUGUGUGUGUAUUUUCACACUGAGCAUAAGGAGAAAUCCAUCCAAGGAGGGGCUUAUGUCUGAUUAGCUAGUUGGUGAGGCAAUAGCUUUACCAAGACGAUGGUUAAUAGUUGAUUCGAGAGAAUGAUUAGCCACAUGGGACUGAGACAUAGCCUAGACUCCUAUGAGAGGUAGUAGUGGGGAAUUUUUCACAAUGGACGAAAGCCUGGCGAAGCAAUG